ACAGAGGGUGCAAACGUUGCUCGGAAUCACUGGGCGUAAAGCGCGUGUAGGCGGACCGGUAAGUCAGGUGUGAAAUCCCUGGGCUCAACCUAGGAACUGCAUCUGAAACUUCCGGUCUAGAGUGUCGGAGAGGGAAGCGGAAUUCCGGGUGUAGAGGUGAAAUUCGUAGAUAUCCGGAGGAACACCGGUGGCGAAGGCGGCUUCCUGGACGACUACUGACGCUGAGACGCGAAAGCGUGGGGAGCAAACAGG
rnacentral:rRNA from 1 species